GUAUACCAACUGUUGUGUAAAGCCUCAUCGAGAAGUUCUCAUGAUGCUGCGUCUUUUGUUGAUCCUUGCUCUGUGCUUCACUGUUGCCUUGUCCUAUCACUAUAAUCAAUUCAACGACUACUUUCGGUUCCGUGGACGUCCUCUCCCUAGACCGUCUCGCCAGGCUUACUUUUUCGGCGACAACAAUAACGACCCAUACAAUAACGACGACAACUGGGGUUUGAAUGUCUUAAACAACUUUUAUUAACAAUGAACAACUGCAAAUGAAGCACAUCAAAGAACAUAACAAAAACAAAGACUUAUUGAAACGGUUUUACAGGAAGAAACAACACAGGAAAAACAUGUGAAUAAAAGCGAGCUUCAUUUACUCUUAGAUACAAGCACAAUAAAGGAUAAAAAACA